rnacentral:snoRNA from 1 species
CCUCCUUUUCUUGGCAUCUCUGAACUCUCCCCCAUGUUUAUGAGAUGAAUGCAACCAGGAGGAAGAUAAAAAUGAUGAACCUUCGGUGUCAGGGUUCUUAUGCCCUGGUCCCAUCCUCUAGCAUCAUUACAGGG